rnacentral:rRNA from 1 species
UAAUACCGCAUGUGCUCUUCGGAGUAAAGCUUCGGCGGUUUGGGAACGGCCUGCGUAUGAUUAGCUUGUUGGUGAGGUAAUGGCUCACCAAGGCGACGAUCAUUAGCUGGUCUGAGAGGAUGAUCAGCCAGACUGGGACUGAGACACGGCCCAGACUCCUACGGGAGGCAGCAGUAGGGAAUUUUCCACAAUGGGCGAAAGCCUGAUGGAGCAACGCCGCGUGCAGGAUGAAGGCCUUAGGGUUGUAAACUGCUUUUAUCUGUGACGAUUUUGACGGUAGCAGAUGAAUAAGGAUCGGCUAACUCCGUGCCAGCAGCCGCGGUCAUACGGAGGAUCCAAGCGUUAUCCGGAAUUACCGGGCGUAAAGAGUUGCGUAGGUGGCAUAGUAAGUUAGAAGUGAAAUCGUGUGGCUCAGCCAUGCUCACAUUUCUAAAAC